rnacentral:rRNA from 1 species
ACAUGCCUACAACAUAGAAUUAAUGCACUGGAUCCCAUUAGAACUCUAUAGUUAUGUGUGCUCAUGCUAGAGUAGUACUGGGAUGGGUGAUCACCCGAGAGUUCCGAAUGUUUUACAUGCC